CUGAACGCUGGCAGUAUGGAUAAGGCAUGCAAGUCGAACGGUCCACCGUUUAUUUCUUCGGAAAUGUUUGGUGGAUAGUGGCAAAUGGGUUAGUAACACGUUGGAAAUCUACCCGAGAGUGGGGAAUAGCUCGCCGAAAGGCGGAUUAAUACCCCAUGGUCCCUGAUGUCGAGAGACAUCACGGUAAAGAUUUAUCGCUCUCGGAAGAUCCUGCGUCCUAUCAGCUUGUUGGUGAGGGUAACGGCUCACCAUGGCGACGACGGGUAGGGGAUGUGAGAGCACGACCCCCAACACUGGAACUGCGACACGGUCCAGACACCUACGGGUGGCUGCAGUCGAGAAUCUUCGGCAAUGCACGGAAGUGUGACCGAGCGAUACUGCGUGCAGGAAGAAGGCCUUCGGGUUGUAAACUGCUGUCGUAUGGGAAGAACUUUGACGGUACCAUACAAGAAAGGGGCGCCUAACUCUGUGCCAGCAGGCGCUGGUAAUACAGAGGCCCCAAGCGUUAGCCGGAAUUAUUGGGCGUAAAGGGUCCGCAGGCGGGAGUAGAGCGUCUUCUGUGAAAUCCUAUCGGCUCAACCGAGAGGCUGCAGUGGAUACGACUACUCUUGAAGCAAGGAGAGGUAAGCGGAAUUCCUAGUGGAGCGGUGAAAUGCGUUGAUAUUAGGGAGAACACCAAUUGCGAAGGCAGCUUACUGGCCUUGUCUUGACGCUCAGGGACGACAGCGUGGGGAGGUGAACGGGAUUAGAUACCCCGGUAAUCCAUGCCGUAAACGUUGCAAACUAGGCAUUGGGAGUAUCGACUCUCUCAGUGUCGAAGCUAACGCGUUAAGUUUGCCGCCUGGGUAGUACGGUCGCAAGACUAAAACUCAAAGGAAUAGACGGGGGCCCGCACAAGCGGUGGAGCGUGUGGUUUAAUUCGAUGCUAAACGAGAACCUUACCUAGGUUAGAAAUCCAACUGUAUCCCAGCAGAAACGUUGGGAGCUUCGAGAUCGUUGGACAGGUGCUGCAUGGUUGCCGUCAGCUCGUGUUGUGAAAUGUUCCCUUCAGUGGGGUAACGAGCGCAACCCUUGUCGUUAGUUGCCAUCAUUCAGUUGGGCACUCUAACGAGACUGCCGUGGUUAACACGGAGGAAGGUGGGGACGACGUCAAAUCAGUAUGGCCCUCUGACACCUAGGGCUACACACGCGCUACAAUGGAUAGGACAAUGAGACGCAACUUCGCGAGAAGAAGGAAUCUUUUAAACCUAUCCUCAGUUCGGAUUGGAGUCUGCAAUUCGACUCCAUGAAGCUGGAAUCGCUAGUAACCGUAAAUCAGCUCGUUACGGCGAAUACGUUCUCGGGCUUUGUACUCACCGCCCGUCAACUCAGAAGAGUUGACAGUACCCGAAGACCCCGCAUUCGCGGGGGCCACGGUAAGGUCAAUGAUUAGGAGU
rnacentral:rRNA from 1 species